rnacentral:misc_RNA from 1 species
UACGGAGGGGGCAAGCGUUGUUCGGAAUUACUGGGCGUAAAGGGCGCGUAGGCGGAAUGUAAAGUUAGGGGUGAAAGGACUGGGCUCAACCUGGGAACGGCCUCUAAAACUGACAAUCUAUAGUCCGGAAGAGGAUGGCGGAAUUCCCAGUGUAGAGGUGAAAUUCGUAGAUAUUGGGAAGAACACCGGUGGCGAAGGCGGCCAUCUGGUCCGGCACUGACGCUGAUGCGCUAAAGCGUGGGGAGCAAACAGG